UAGGGAAUCUUCGGCAAUGGGGGCAACCCUGACCGAGCAACGCCGCGUGAGUGAAGAAGGUUUUCGGAUCGUAAAGCUCUGUUGUAAGAGAAGAACGUGUGUGAGAGUGGAAAGUUCACACAGUGACGGUAACUUACCAGAAAGGGACGGCUAACUACGUGCCAGCAGCCGCGGUAAUACGUAGGUCCCGAGCGUUGUCCGGAUUUAUUGGGCGUAAAGCGAGCGCAGGCGGUUUAAUAAGUCUGAAGUUAAAGGCAGUGGCUUAACCAUUGUUCGCUUUGGAAGCUGUUAAACUUGAGUGCAGAAGGGGAGAGUGGAAUUCCAUGUGUAGCGGUGAAAUGCGUAGAUAUAUGGAGGAACACCGGUGGCGAAAGCGGCUCUCUGGUCUGUAACUGACGCUGAGGCUCGAAAGCGUGGGGAGCAAACAGG
rnacentral:rRNA from 1 species